GAUGAACGCUGGCGGCGUGCCUAAUACAUGCAAGUCGAGCGAACAGACGAGGAGCUUGCUCCUCUGACGUUAGCGGCGGACGGGUGAGUAACACGUGGAUAACCUACCUAUAAGACUGGGAUAACUUCGGGAAACCGGAGCUAAUACCGGAUAAUAUAUUGAACCGCAUGGUUCAAUAGUGAAAGACGGUUUUGCUGUCACUUAUAGAUGGAUCCGCGCCGCAUUAGCUAGUUGGUAAGGUAACGGCUUACCAAGGCAACGAUGCGUAGCCGAACUGAGAGGGUGAUCGGCCACACUGGAACUGAGACACGGUCCCGACUCCUAAGGGAGGCAGCAGUAGGGAAUCUUCCGCAAUGGGCGAAAGCCUGACGGAGCAACGCCGCGUGAGUGAUGAAGGUCUUCGGAUCGUAAAACUCGGUUAUUAGGGAAGAACAAAUGUGUAAGUAACUAUGCACGUCUUGACGGUACCUAAUCAGAAAGCCACGGCUAACUACGUG
rnacentral:rRNA from 1 species